rnacentral:lncRNA from 1 species
UUUUAGUAACUAUUGUGUGCCAAAAUGCACAGAUCUGGACCAUUGGAUGAAAUAUAAUCAAACUGUAACACCGAAAAUUUUCAUAUAAAAUUUUCGUUUUAAAUUCACUUAAAUUCUCAUAUUACAUUACACAAAAUCCAUCCAAUUAACAAAACACAAAUCUAUCAUUAUUUGAUUAAUAAUUCAGGAUCCUCCAAAACAUUAUUCUUCAUCUCGUGUGUACAAUCGAGCCGUCGCCUUCCUGCGAUCCUAAGAAAAACCUGAAACACAUAACGCAUAACACGGUAAGCACGAAGUUUAGUGAGUUCCCCAAAAUACCACAUACAACUCAUUAGCCACUCGAGGCUAUAACUUUGGAAGACCCUCUUGGUCAAUGUAUCUCUGUGGGACUCUCCAGUCCCACGGCUCGCUAGACCCUCUGGUCCGGUCUCGGUGAGGACCCUCCGGUCUCACAGCUCGUUGGACCCUCCGGUCUGAUCUCAGUGAGAACCCUUCGGUCUCACAGCUCGUUGGACCCUCCGAUCCGGUCUCAGUGAGGACCCUCCGGUCUCACAACUCGUUGGACCCUCCGGUCCGGUCUUAAUAUCACAUAAUAUAACAUAUAUACCCAAGGUUCUAAAUGGCGUGAGACAUGACGUGGCGGCAAGAUCAAUCCUCAAGCUUAACGAGCCGUGGCGAGCCAUGACGUUUUUCAAGGCGUGAUGUAAGGCGGCGAUUUUGUAUUAAUUUAAAAUUAUAUUACCACAUAAAUAUAAAUUUAUACUAAAUAUAACUACUUUUUAAAAGUGUUAGAUCAAUAACUAAUAACAAAAAGUUAACAAAAACCACAAUACUUGUAUGUCCGAUUUGGAAAGACAUAACAAAGCGCAAAAAACUGUGUCUCAAACAAAAAAACACGCGCCAUAACACGCCAUAACGCGCCAUGACGUGCUAUAUCACGCCUUGCUACACGCCACACCUAACGACAACGUUAUGAAGCUUUUUGUAACGGCGAAGCCACGCCUCACGCCAUGGCGCGCCUUUUAGAACACUGUAUAUACCACACCGACAAAUGCACAACUCAAGUAAGCACAUAAGACCAAUAUAUACACAGAUUACAAUAACAACAUAAGUCACAAAGAUAGUAUGCAUGAUAACACAUAACACAUUAUAAACAAGUAAGACCCUCUGAUCGAUAAUGUAUUAAGACCCUCCGAUCAAUAGUGUAAAUAAGACCCUCCGGUCAAUAACACAAAUAAGACCCACUGGUCACACACAAGUCACCACACAGGUAAGUAUAGUGAGAAGACUCACCUCGGAUGACGAACAGAUCCCAUAAAUGCUGUUGUUGUACACCAGCUUCUAACACUGUGCCAAACCCACAAAUAAUCUCAUUAGGAUCCAAGACCAAACCUUCACAUAUUAGGUCUAAAUAUGGUCCACCAAUCCGGCCCAUAAAUAACUCAAGCCCAUUUGGCCCACCAAGGCCCAAUACCAAAUGGGUCCACAAAGGUCCACUAAUGGCCUCACUAUGGCCCAAUUUUCCAAAUUGGGCUCAAACCCUCAUAUGGGCCUUACCCUACAACCCAUCUAAAUAUUCUGGUCCACAUAAUUAUUCUUGGGUGGCCCAUCAAUAGCCCAAUCACCAAAGCCCAAAAGAAAGGACCAAGCAAAAUUAGGGUUUUCACAUAAAAUGACAAUUAGGGUUAAGUGUUUCUCACUUAACCCAUUAAGUCCAUCACUCCACUAGCCCAUUCACACAAUAAAAUUGGACAUAAUUCACAAUAUCAAUCUAACAAUCCAACUGCGGGUCCUGGUAAAAUCCAAACUAACAAACCCAAAAAUUAGGGUUUUCUAAACCCUAAUUAGGGUUUCUAGCCCAAUCAUGAACCAACCCAGUCCAAAAUUAAGUGUUUAGGUCCAUUAGGGUUCCACUAGGCCGGGUACCACCCACUGCCACCUCGGGCUGUGGUGGUCAGCGGCAGCUCAUGGCGGCAGGCGGCGGAGGCCACCAUUACUAGUCAUGGUGGUGGUGGUUCCCGCCCAAAAGUGCUCAAACAUCCUCACACUUAAAAUUCACACGCAUACAACCACCAACCAUGGCGGCUGGUGGCGGCAGAAAGCGGCAAUGGGUGGCAACCACCACCUUGAGAUGGUGGUGGUGGAUUUUCUGAUCCACUAAGUUGCAUAUAACACCUCAAACACCGAGAAUAGCAAAAAUACUCGAUCAUACACUUACUCAGCAACCUCACAGGCGGCUGUCAUAACCGGAAUGGGUAGGAACGGUGGCCAUAAGGUCACCGGCGGCAGGCUGUGACGUUCCACAACAUCCAAACAACAAAAACGAAGAAGAUGAAAGAAGAUGGGUGGCUAGCGGUCUUACCUAAGCUUUCUCUUCGCGCACUAAUUGCACAACGACAUACACACGAACUACUCAACUGGUCUCGGUAGUUCUCCGAUGGCACACAACCCCUCCGGUAGCAGGCGUCGCGUUGGCGUCAUUCGUCAGCACUGAAGUGGCGGCGACGGCUCCUGGCGUUGCAACGGCGAUAGAUUGCACUCCCAUGGCGGCGGCUGUAGAUUCGUGCCCUAGGGUUAGGCUUGAGUCGCAUAAACGGGAGGGAAAUAGAACACAGAUAGAUCCCGCUCCCUUCCAAACUUUCCUUCGUUUUUAUCACAUUUAGCCCCUCCUUACCAUAUCUUCUUCAAACUAAGUCCAAAACUUACCUAAUA